UUCUGGACAUGGCCAUGGAUUCUUAAUUGGGGUUUUUUCAUAAAUCCCCUAAAAAUGGCAUGGUGUUAUGUUUUUACCUCACAAUAUUAGUUUUAGCAAUAAUCUCUCAAAAAAAUAAAAAACUUUACACAAAUUCCUCAUAACCCAAAAUUAACUCAAAUUAAGAAAAAAUAUGACACUUAUAACCCUCCACCUACUACUUCUUCUUCUCCAUUUCUCAUAACUACCAUUAUUGUCAGAAUCCCACCGCUUCUCUCCUCGAGAUCGUCCUGGGUGCUGCUUCUUGGCUACGUAAUGCAUCGGUGUCGCUGUAUAUUCCUCCUCAUAUGUUCACUGAUUCUCCUCCUCUUCCCUUGCUCUACUUCCCUUAUUCUCUGAGCUUUAGAAUUUUGAUCAAUUGAGACUUGUUGGAUCUGUUGCUAUUGGUGAAGUUUUCUUCAAGAAUCUAAGAAGAGGAAAUUUGAGUUGCAAUCAGAGUUAUCACAAGUAAAAAGGAAUGGAAGGUUGUUGGAGCUUGAAACAAAAAAAGAAGUUAAUGAGCUAUAUGAAAGAAUUGAGAUUUUGGAGUUUGAAAAAGGUGUUCUGUGUGAGCAAGUGGUAGAAAUGUGUUUGAGUUCAAGGAAAAAGAAUGGUGGAGAGGGUAGUUAUAAUGGUUUGAUGGAGAAUUUAGAAAUGGAAGUUAUUGAUUGAAUAAAAAAUUGCAGAUGAAAAAAAUGAAUUUUCUUGUAAAAUAUCUUAUUCGGAGACUCAACUGGCUUCUUUUGCUAAGGCUUCUCAAAAAUUGCAGAAGGAUUCCUCAAUUAGUUUGGUACAUUCAAGUUUGUGUAAAUAUUCUGUAAUUUUUUUUUUAAAUGGAAAUAAAAUAAAAUUUUCUUUGUA